AUCAAUCUACCUGCCGGUGCACCUGCAAAGAGCCUUUCAUCAUUUUACUACAGACGACAAUCAAAGGCAAAGAGAAUGGUAUUAACAAGAGCUGUGUCCGAUGUCUUCAUUGUGGCAGCCAAAAGGACUGCCUUUGGAACAUUUGGAGGCAAGUUUGUCAAAACCUCCCCAACAGACCUUAUGAUUCAUGCCUCAAAAGCAGCUCUGACCGUCAACAGACUGUGUGGGUCAGGAUUCCAGGCCGUUAUCAAUGGAGCUCAGGAGAUUAUGCUUGGAGAGAGUCAGGUUGUCUUAUGUGGAGGUGUGGACAACAUGAGCAUGGCUCCUUAUGCUGUCAGGGAUAUUCGCUUUGGAACAAGACUUGGAAAGGCACCAGAGAUGGAAGACAUUCUUUGGGACAGCCUCACAGAUUCCUAUACUGGAUUUCCCAUGGCCAUCACAGCUGAAAAUCUGGCAGAACAAUACAAAAUCAGUAAGGAAGACUGUGACAAGUAUGCUCUUCAAACACAACAAAGAUGGAAGGCUGCUCAAGAUGCUGGAGUUUUCAAAGCAGAGAUUGCCCCAAUCACAAUGAAAGGCAAAAAAGGACCAGAAAGCUUUGAAGUAGAUGAACAUCCCAAGCCACAGACUACCCUUGAAGGUUUGGCAAAACUGCCAGCCAUCUUCAAGAAAGGAGGAACAGUGUCUGCUGGCAAUGCCUCUGGUGUGUGUGACGGUGCUGCUGCUGUAGUGGUUGCUAGCGGUGCUGCUGUGAAGCAAUACAACCUGACCCCACUCGCCCGUCUGGUUGCAUAUGGCAUCUCUGGUUGUGAUCCAAAAGUAAUGGGCAUCGGACCUGCUCCUGCUUCAAGAGCUGCCUUAAAAUCUGCAGGAAAGAGUAUUGAAGACAUGGAUAUUGUUGAGGUUAAUGAAGCAUUUGCUCCACAAUAUCUGGCAGUAAAGAAGGAAUUACCGGACAUCUUGCUCAUGAAUUACAACGACAGAACAAGAAGUUGGCCCUAGGGUCAGCUUGCAUUGGUGGGGGGCAGGGCAUCACUGUCAUUCUGGAGAAAUGUUGAUGGGAUCGAGUUUUGGGGUGCAUGACUUUUGAAAUCAAGUGCUAUCAAAAUUACAUUUAAAUUGACUGUGAUAUGUAGCAAAUUGACCAUAGUUCAGGAUACAAAAGGAACAAAAUGUGACAUUUACUACCAUUCUUAUGAGGCUGAAUUGUAUAUUAUCCAUACACUUAUACAAUGAAAUACUUGUAAAUGCAGUGACACUUUUAUAAACCUGUUCAUUCAUCUGCAUUGGUGGGAGGAGAGUUACCACAGCUAUUGAAACAAAAUAAAAAAUAAAUC
rnacentral:misc_RNA from 1 species